GACGAACGCUGGCGGCGCGCUUAACACAUGCAAGUCGAGCGAGAACCAGCCCUUCGGGGCUGGGGAAAGCGGCGAACGGGUGAGUAACACGUGGGUAAUCUGCCCUCGGCACCGGAAUAGCCCGGGGAAACCCGGAUUAAUGCCGGAUGGCCUCUCGAGCUCUCGAGCUCGUGAGAAAAGGUAGCUUCGGCCUCCGGCCGAGGAUGAGCCCGCGGUCGAUUAGCUUGUUGGUGAGGUAAUGGCUCACCAAGGCGACGAUCGAUAGCUGGUCUGAGAGGACGAUCAGCCACACUGGGACUGAGACACGGCCCAGACUCCUACGGGAGGCAGCAGUGGGGAAUCUUGCGCAAUGGGCGAAAGCCUGACGCAGCGACGCCGUGUGCGGGAAGAAGG
rnacentral:rRNA from 1 species